rnacentral:misc_RNA from 1 species
AAAGCAGGUCAGAAUUUCUCACAUGAUCAUGGAAGGCAGCAGUUUGUGGACCAUCAUGUCAUGCCUAGAGAGGUCGCCCGUAAUCUGCAUUUUCUUACUGAGAAAGAAUACAGAAACUAUGGUCUUCAACAGGCAAAACAUGUGCAGCCCUGUACUUCUGCAGUACACGUGACCCACAAUUUGGAUCAUUGUGGAUCAGAACAAGGAAUACAGCAGCUACUGCGGGCCCCUGCUGGUGCGAGAAGCGAUGCAGCUUUUGCACGGAAUGAACAUGUUCACUCUGAUGCUCGUUUUCCAAAUGAAAGGGAAUACCGUAGUUACGGCCUCAAUAGUCUCCAUGGGCAACCUGGUACUGUUACCCCUGCUGCAGAAAGUAGAAAUAGAAUGUCUGCAGCUG